GGGUUCAUAGCUCAAUUGGUAGAGCAACGGUCUCCAAAACCGUCGGUUCCAAGUUCGAAUCUUGGUGAACUCG
rnacentral:tRNA from 1 species